rnacentral:SRP_RNA from 1 species
GGUCGGGUUGCGUGCGAGAGGAGGCGCAAACCCGGUCAGGCCCGGAAGGGAGCAGCCGUAGCGACACUUCACUGUGAUACGUUACGCCCGAUCGCU